rnacentral:rRNA from 1 species
AGAUUCGCGGCCUAUCAGCUUGUUGGUGAGGUAACGGCUCACCAAGGCGAUGACGGGUAGCGGGUCUGAGAGGAUGGUCCGUCACACUGGGACUGAGACACUGCCCAGACUCCUACGGGAGGCUGCAGUCGAGAAUCUUCCACAAUGGGCGCAAGCCUGAUGGAGCGACACCGCGUGCAGGAUGAAGGCCUUAGGGUUGUAAACUGCUGUCACGCUAUAGGAACCCACGGCAGUGAAUAGUUGUCGUGCUGACUAAAGCGAGAGGAAGCACCGGCUAACUCCGUGCCAGCAGCCGCGGUAAUACGGAGGGUGCAAGCGUUGUUCGGAUUCACUGGGCAUAAAGAGCAUGUAGGCGGCUCGCUCAGUCAGGUGUGAAAGCCCACGGCCCAACCGUGGAACUGCGCCUGAUACUGGCGAGCUCGAGGACGGAAGGGGUGAGUGGAACUCCAGGUGGAACGGUGAAAUGUAUAGAUAUCUGGAGGAACACCGGUGGCGAAAGCGGCUCACUGGUCCGUCUCUGACGCUGAGAUGCGAAAGCUAGGGUAGCGAACGGGAUUAGAUACCCCGGUAGUCCUAGCCAUAAACGAUGGGCACUAGGCAAUGGGCUUACCUAUGAGGUUCAUUGCCGUAGCUAAUGUGUUAAGUGCCCC